rnacentral:lncRNA from 10 species
UGUUUCAGGGAAAUUCUCCAGCAUUAGAGAUCAAGUUAUUGAUCUUUCUGCUGCAUUGCAGGUGGGGAUCAAUAUCUUCAGAAUUGGCCAGGCAAAAUAUAUUUGCUUAACAUUCAGCUGCUACAGAUAACUGCAGGUGCUGGGAUGAUGGUACUUGGUGAAUCCUAUAGGUGAGCAGGGGUGUGAGAUCCUGCUCUGAGCCCUGUGUGUGCGGCCUCCUGGUUGUGUGGCAUGUGGUAAGUGUGUAGUAAACACUUAAUGAAUGGGUGAAGUUAUGAAGUCAUCAGAUAUGUGUGCCAGUGUGUCUGUUAUUAUGGAUGCUUUUGGCUCUAACAAAGUGGCUUAAACAACAGGCACAUUUGAUAUUAUUUUCUUCUCAUAACAGGUGCAAUGGGCAGGUCCAGGGUUGGUUGAGCACCAGGGCAGUGUUGAGACUCUGGUCCAACUUCUCUGGGCGUUUUCUUUUUGCUUGUCAGAGAGCGACCUCGGCUGCAAGUAUUAUGUUCUUACACGGACGCCCAAGAGCAGAAAGGAAAAAGGGCAGGGAUGUUCUCAGAGGCUCCCAGUAGGUCUCACUUGUGUCUCAGUGUCUACACUUGGCAUACACUUACGCUUCCCUUGCCAGCAAGGCUGGGAAAGGAGUCAUUAGCAUUUUUACCCUGUAUCAGGGCAGGUGGGUUUCACUGGCAAAGAGGAAGAGGAAGGGGACUGGCCACUAGGUCAAAACCCACAGUGGGGCUGGGGAUACAGGGAUGAAAGAGAGAUGAGGCUCCUGCCUUCAGGGAGUGUCUAGUGACAGUGACAGAGGGAUGAGAGAAGUAUGAGAUGUUGCUCACCCUCAAGAAGAUUGUAACCUAGGGACCUUAAGCAUAUAUGUAUGUAUCUAUCCCAAGCCAGGAGAAAGGUGGGGCCAAAGCUCUGUAUGAAGGCCAGGGGGAUGAGGGAUCCUUUGCAGCUGCGAGCUCUGUGCAGGAGGAGAGGGAGCGUUUGCUCUGAGCUAGGAAGAGAGGUGAUUUUCAGACAGAAAGCCUAGAGAGAUGGAGUGGCUGCAGGGGCUUCAGGAGGCUGUUUGGGAGCCCAGGCAGAAGGUGGCAAGUGAGUGUGCAAUUCUCAGAGAGUGGCUGGGUAAGGAGUGGGGAUCCAGCAGGUCUGGGGCAGCUGCUGCUGAGUCUGGGCUGUUUCCAGUGCUAGCUGGCUGAGCAUUUGCAAAUUUUAAUCUUUCCCUGGGUAUUGGAUGGUGUUCUGGCAAGUUCUCUAGGAGUCCCAGUGGUGUUUAGACCCUGGAAGUGUAAGAACUGACUGUGAUUUUUUUUUUUCUCUUGUUUGAAAAAGUCCUAAGUGUAUGGGAAGUGGCUAUGGUGCCGUCUCACUCUGCCCCUCCCGUGUGCUUGUGCUCUGCAGGUAUGGAUUUAACAGUCACGGGCUUUCAGUGGUGGAACACAGGUUACGGGCCAGACAGCAGAAGCAGGCCAAGCUCACAGAAGUUGGGCAUCGAUGGGCUGAUUGUUACGAACACCACCGUGAGUCGCCCUGCGGGCCUCCAGGGUGCCCUGCGCUCUGAAACAGGAGGGCUGAGUGGGAAGCCCCUCCGGGAUUUAUCAACUCAAACCAUUCGGGAGAUGUAUGCACUCACCCAAGGCAAGUUCCCAUAAUUGGGGUUGGUGGUGUGAGCAGCGGGCAGGACGCGCUGGAGAAGAUCCGGGCAGGGGCCUCCCUGGUGCAGCUGUACACGGCCCUCACCUUCUGGGGGCCACCCGUUGUGGGCAAAGUCAAGCGGGAACUGGAGGCCCUUCUGAAAGAGCAGGGCUUUGGCGGAGUCACAGAUGCCAUUGGAGCAGAUCAUCGGAGGUGAGGACAGCGUCUGACGGGAAGCCUGAUCUGGAACCUUCCCAAGGACUCAGGCAAGCCUUUGUGGCUGGAUCAUGAGAGGAGGGACUCCAUCUUGAGCCAUGUCCCCCAGCCAUGGCAUGGCUGCACUGUAAACGCCAAUCGGGGGGUCACCAGGAUCAACCGCAGGCUUUCUUCAGUCCCUUGGUCAGACCAUAAACUGCAUUUUUGAUUCUUUGUGGAUUCAAACCCUAGGAUCCAUCAGUCUUGCAAGGACAUUGAAUAUUAGGAGGAAAAAGUCAUGGAAAAAAUAAAGCCAUUUAGAACCUGGGUUUCAA